rnacentral:rRNA from 1 species
UCCCGCAACGAGCGCAACCCCUGUGGCUAGUUACAAGUGUCUAGCCAGACUGCCGACAUCAAGUUGGAGGAAGGUGGGGAUGAUGUCAAGUCAGCAUGGCCUUUAUAUCUGGGGCGACACACACGCUACAAUGGGCAGUACAAUGGGCAGCGAAAGGGCGACCUGGAGCGAAUCUCAUCAAAGCUGUUCGUAGUUCGGAUUGUAGGCUGCAACCCGCCUACAUGAAGCCGGAGUUGCUAGUAACCGCAGGUCAGCCAUACUGCGGUGAAUACGUUCCCG